rnacentral:rRNA from 1 species
AAGUGGAGCAAUCCAUGAGUACAGUGGCGUACGGGUGAGUAACACGUGACUAACCUACCCUCGAGUGGGGAAUAACCUCGGGAAACCGGGGCUAAUACCGCAUAACAUCUUCGGAUCAAAUGCGUAAGCAGCUUGAGGAGGGGGUCGCGGCCGAUUAGCUAGUUGGCGGGGUAAUGGCCCACCAAGGCAAUGAUCGGUAGCCGGCCUGAGAGGGCGCACGGCCACACUGGAACUGAAACACGGUCCAGACUCCUACGGGAGGCAGCAGUGGGGAAUUUUGCGCAAUGGGGGAAACCCUGACGCAGCAACGCCACGUGGAGGAUGAAGCCCCUUGGG